GUCAUUAGUUUCAACUUUUUUUUUUCGUGCACUUGAAGCGGGGAAAGUUUGCGCGGCAGUGUGUUUAAUUUAUUCUGUUUUAACGGUUUUAGAAAUGGAUAUUCAGAAACAGAGAGAUGGAUUUCAGACAUCCCUAAAUCUGAAGCUGUCAAAUGGUUAUGUUUUACCUGAAGGUAGAAUGACACCAAACACACUUUUUGUUGGAGGAAUCGACAUGAAGGUGGAUGAGAAUGAAAUCCGGGACUUCUUUGCGAGAUUUGGCACGGUGAAGGAAGUGAAAAUCAUCACUUAUCGCGGAGGCAUCUGCAAAGGAUAUGGAUUUGUUUACUUCAAUGAAGAUGUCGACAUCGAAACCAUCGUUGAACAACAGAUCAGUUUUAAAGGGCGGAAACUGAAGCUGGGUCCAGCAAUCAUGAAGGAAAGGAGCGCACGUUCCAUGCCGUCUCACCUGGUUGGUCAGGUCCCCUGGAUGAGCCCCUCACAGUACAUCUACUGCACCUGCUGCUCUCCUGUGGGCGUGGCUCAGCCCUCACCUGUACUCAACGGGGGCAAUCCCUACAUCCAGCCUUACUCGUAUAAUGGCCUUCAAGGAGUCAUGAUGCCACAGAUGCCCAUGAGCUACUCACAAACCGCCUACGCGUACCAGUACGCCUCUCCACACUGGACGGGGGAGCAGAGGACACGGCUUGUCAACCAGCCGGCUCAUUAUUUGAUGUGAUGUGGUGCCCCGUUUCCAGAACUUUGUGGACUGUGGAGUCCAGACUCUGCUGACUCUGCUGUAGCCCACUGACCCUCCUGUACCAGGGGGUGAUGUGUGCCAGUUUGCACUGCGAGUAGAUGACAUCCUGGCCUUUGGAGCGCUAGAAGCAACAAACUUUCAAAAUGUACAUUACCAGGAUGCUUUCUCUCCCUGACAUCCCUCCCUCACUCGCUUUGAGACCCAUUUUAACACCGACCGUGGCGGCUCAACACUUGCACCUGAUGGGCGUGGUCACUGUGACUGUGCUCCAUGAUUGGCUUGGCUAGGACCACGGUCCUGGGGUUUGGACCGCUUUUAAAUCACCUCAACCACUGUCACGCAGGGAAGAGAGGAAGUCAUUUUGGUGAUUCAGCAUUUUCAUAACAAGGCAACGUGUGGUGUCACUUUUUUUUUUUUUUGUAGUUUGUGGUUUUUGAUGGGUUUUUUGAUUGUCCCAAACCAAAAAGAGACUUUUACGCUCACCUGUGCAUAUUUAUAUUUUAUUUUGUACUAUUUAUGUUGAAAUUAUUUUAAUGUCGGUUUGUUUGGGUUUAAGCUUUUAGCGGGGCCUCUCUGUACAUAGAUUUGUAAUACAGUAAAUUCAUCUUUAGAAUAGUGAGAUCGAUUAACUUUCCCUUUAUUAAUUCACGUUCCAUCCCCAUACUCCUUCCAUUUAAGAUAAACUAGUGUGUUGAAUUGUUAUGAGGGCAGCAUUGGGCACAACACUAACACAUUUUUCAGGUAC